rnacentral:rRNA from 1 species
GUCUUUUUGAGAAUAAUUUAAAGUCAAAUCUGCCCACUGAUUUAAUUAAAGGGCUGCAGUAAAUUGACUGUACAAAGGUAGCAUAAUCAUUAGUCUUUUAAUUGGGGACUUGUAUGAAAGAUUUAAUGAAAUAUAAGCUGUCUCUUUUUUAAAAUUAGAAUUUAAUUUUUUAGUAAAAAAGCUAAAAUUUAUUUAAAAGACGAGAAGACCCUAUAGAGUUUUAUAAUUAAUUUUAAUAUAUUUUUUUUAUUUUUAUUUUUAUAUAAAUUAAAUUUAAUUAUUUUGUUGGGGUGAUAAAAAAAUAAAAAAAACUUUUUUUUUUAUUUUACAUUAAUUAAUGAAAUUAUGAUCCAUAAAUUAUGAUUAAAAGAAAAAAUUACCUUAGGGAUAACAGCGUAAUUUUUUCUUUUAGUUCAUAUAAAAUAAAAAGUUUGCGACCUCGAUGUUGGAUUAAGAUAAAAUUUAAAUGUAAAAGUUUAAAAUUUUUGAUCUGUUCGAUCAUUAAAAUCUUACA